rnacentral:pre_miRNA from 1 species
AUACAAAUUACAUGGAGAUCUUGUUAAAAGGCAGGUUUUGAUAUAGUAGGUUUGAGGUGGAGCCUGAGAUUCUGCAUUUUUAACAAGCCCAUGAGUGAUGCCCAG